rnacentral:rRNA from 1 species
CACCUCUAGCAUUACCAGUAUUAGAGGCACUGCCUGCCCAGUGACAUUAGUUUAACGGCCGCGGUAUCCUGACCGUGCAAAGGUAGCAUAAUCAUUUGUUCCUUAAUUAGGGACUCGUAUGAACGGCCACACGAGGGUUUAACUGUCUCUUACUUUUAAUCAGUGAAAUUGACCUCCCCGUGAAGAGGCGGGGAUGCAAAAAUAAGACGAGAAGACCCUAUGGAGCUUAAAUUAAAUUAUCCAACAAGCCCAGACCUUAACCCAACAGGAAUAACUCUAUCUUAACUGGAUAAUAAAUUUUGGUUGGGGUGACCUCGGAGCACAACCUAACCUCCGAGCGAUUUAAAUCAAGACUUACUUGUCAAAAUAACAAUAUUAAUUGAUCCAAUCAUAUUGAUCAACGGAACAAGUUACCCUAGGGAUAACAGCGCAAUCCUAUUUAAGAGUCCAUAUCGACAAUAGGGUUUACGACCUCGAUGUUGGAUCAGGACACCCAAAUGGUGCAGCAGCUAUUAAAGGUUCGUUUGUUCAACG